AGCACAUGUUUCAGUGGUCUGGAAUUGUUUAUAGCCCUGUGAGUUUAUCACUUCAUGACUGAGAGCUGUCCUUCAUGACAACAGAACCCACAACAACCAUGACUUUUAUCACCAUCUUCAUCUGGACACUUUCCCUCUGCUUUCAAGAAUCUAGAGGUCAGUACACUGUGACUCAGACUCCUGCUGUGAAAGCUGUUCUCCCAGGACAGUCAGUCUCUCUGAACUGUAAAACCAGCAGUAAUGUGCAUGGCGCAGGAGGCACUUAUCCCUGCCUAGCCUGGUAUCAACAGAAAGCUGGAGGAGCUCCUAAACUCCUUAUUUACUAUGCUAAAACACUUCAGUCUGGGACUCCAUCUAGAUUCAGUGGCAGUGGAACUCAUAGUGACUUCACUCUGACCAUCAGUGGAGUCCAGGCUGAAGAUGCAGGAGAUUACUACUGUCAGAGUUUACACAGUGGUCCAGUGUUCACACAGUGAUAUAGAGCCAUACAAAAACCUCCCUCAGUCAGACUGCACAGUGACUGUACUGAUACAGCUGGGACCUACUGCAGGUGCUGAGGGGAGGAGACGAUCCAGUACAAUGACACAGUGUGUGGUAGCGUUGAACAACAGAGUAGUCAAACUAGAGCUAUGUCUAGAAGACCUUAGAUCAUAUCUGAUCACUAAAUGUUUCUCCUGACCAUUAACUACAUGUUGACGCUGUUGAGUAACUCAAGGAAAACCACCAACCCAUCUGAAUAGAGAUCAAAUCUAAUUUUAUUGGUCACAUACACAUGGUUAGCAGAUUUUAAUGUGGGUGUAGCAAAAUGCUUGUGCUUCUAGUUCUGACCGUGCAGUAAUAUCUAACAAGCAAUCUAUACAUUUCACAACAACUACAUUAUACAUACAAGUGUAAAGGAAUGAAUAAGAAUAUGUACAUAUAAAUAUAUGAAUGAGCGAUGGCUGAACGACAUAGGCAAAAUGCAGUACAUGGUACAGAGUACAGUAUGUACAUAGGAGAUGAGUAAUGUAGGGUAUGUAAACAUUAUAUAAAGUGACAUUGUUUAAAGUUACUAGUGAUACAUUUAUUACAUCCAGUUUUUAAUUAUUAAAGUGGCUAGAGAUUUGAGUCAUUAUGUUGGCAGCAGCCACUCAAUGUUAGUGAUGGCUGUUUAACAGUCUGAUGGCCUUGAGAUAGAAGCUGUUUUUCAGUCUCUCGGUCCCAGCUUUGAUGCACCUGUACUGACCUCGCCUUCUGGAUGAUAGCAGGGUGAACAGGCAAUGGCUCAGCUGGUUGUUGUCCUUGGGGAUCUUUUUGGCCUUCCUGUGACAUCGGGUGGUGUAGGUGUCCUGGAGGACAGGUAGUUUGCCCCCGGUGAUGCGUUGUGCAGACCUCACUACCCUCUGGAGAGCCUUACGGUUGUGGGCGGAGCAGUUGCCGUACCAGGCGGUGAGACAACCCGACAGGAUGCUCUCGAUUGUGCAUCUGUAAAAGGUUGUGAGUGUUUUUGGUGACAAGACAAAUUUCUUCAGCCUCCUGAGGUUGAAGAGUCACUGUUGGUCUUUCUUCAUCACGCUGUCUGUGUGGGUGGACCAUUUCAGUUUGUCUGUGUUGUGUACGCUGAGGAACUUAAAACUUUCCACCUUCUCCACUACUGUCCUGUCGAUGUGGAUAGGGGGGUGCUCCCUCAGUUGUUUCCUAAAGUCCACGAUCAUCUCCCUUAUUUUGUUGACGAUACAAUAAUCAAAACCCCUAAAGAUGACCUCUGUUUUGAAUACACUCCUGGAUAGUGAGAGUCAGGGUGCUGCUCCAGCUGAACAGGCCAUCCUUUUCCAGGACCCCAGGACUAGGUUCCUGCUUCUUGGUGGUCCUGUCCACUUUCCAACUCAUGAUACAGUCUGAGGAAGAAGCCCUUGUUGGCCAGGCACAUCAGUGUGGUCAUUGUCUUACUGGAAAGCUCCCCACUAGAGGGGGGCAGGACGGUCAGGGUGGUGGAAACUGUUACCAAGGAGAAACAACACAUCAACUACAUCAAAAUAAAACACUUUGGAAAUGACUUCUAAACUGUAUAUGAAUAUAACAGUUAUAUUGCUAAAAGAUGUGAAGAAAACAGUAACUUUAUAUAAAGCAGAUUACAAGAAUAAAGUAUACAAGCAGAAAACA